UUUUAGCCCCGAUUGAACGGCAUGUUUGAGCUCUUUUGAUCUUUUUGGCGGCGGCUUUGCCGCCGCCAAAAAGAUCAAAAAGCGAGUAGUGAAAGCGGGAUUAAGC
rnacentral:misc_RNA from 1 species